rnacentral:lncRNA from 1 species
CAAAACAACUUAUGUAAAUAAAUAAGUUUUUAUGUAUUAUUAUAAGUUUGUCAAGAUAGUUUAUGAAAAAACAGCUUAUAAAAAUACCGUUUUUGUUAGUAAAAACUUAUAAAUUAACAUAAAAACUUAUUUAUUUAUAUAAGUUGUUUUGCAUAAGCUCAAAAAUAAGUUAUUCCAAAGGAGCACUUAUUUAUUUACAACUUAUUUGAAUAUUUGUACAUGAGGCACACUGACACAAUUGGGUGCACACAACGCCAUAUAAAAAUAUUUGUCAUUGCAUUUCCUUGAAUUGUACAAAUCAUAGCUAGGCUGGCAUUGCUAAAUUGGUUACUCAAUUAUAGGACCACCCUUACCCUUACUAUAUAUAUGCAUUUGCAGACUCUUCUCUCAAAGUCAAAUAUACAGCAAACACGUUUUUUAUAUGGACACAAAUGAUCACUUUGCCCCAAUAACUCAAUUGCCAGAGAGUAGAAACAUUGUAAUAUACAUAUCCCAAGUUUGAACUCGAAAUUUGCAUUUAUUUACUUUUAAGGGGUAAAAUUACGGUCACUUGACAAAAAAAUCACUUUGUUUAAAUCCAUUAAGGCGGCUUUAUUACAUAUUAUAAAAUUUAUUACAUAGUUUGAGUAAUUAAUUUUUUUAAUAUAUUUUUGUUCUGUU